AAACAAAUUAAAGAAAAGUUAAAAAAAUAUAUAUUUUAAAAAAAUCGUAUUCUGAUUCAACGCCAAAAUACAUAAUCUCUUGAGAUUCGCCGCACGUCUUGAAAUUCUCUGCGACCCGGAUGAGAUUUUAUUUAUGAAGACCGUUUUUCGAGCGUUGGGUGUUGCGGGAAUUUUAUCGUAUUGUCACACAUAUUCCUCCUUCGUGAUCUCGGUCGCUUCGCGGAUUGACGAGGACGCGAGAAAGCGGAUCUUGCGGGCGUAAAACCUGAGGAGGAAUCUUGGAAUGCGUGACUUCAAUCAAUGGAAGAAAUUUUUAAUCAUGAAUAAUAUUUGAUGAAUAAUAUGUGAAAAAUAUUUAUAAAACAGCAAAAAUAUCCAUUCGACGAAAAUCCUCAUGGAUGACACUUGACAUGUGAUGGAACACGUGCAGUUUGAAUAGCUUCGUUGCGGAUCGCACAAAAUACGGUGGUUGAAUAUUUCGUACCGGAAAAUGUACUCUUACUAGCGAUAUAUGCUGUACACGUUUGACCCCCGUGCGUGAAUUUUUAACAAACUUAAGCAGAUUCCCCGAUCCGCCGCCGCGUGUCCAUUCGCAAGAAUGCGGUUUAUUGACCCCGCGGUUACAGAUCGGUGAACCUGAUGGCGGGGCUCUUUCGUACGCCGGCCUACACUGUCCAACCCAAAUUCUACUCUUGAAAUGUCAAUGUCGAGGCAACUAUAGACAACGAGAAAUUGGUGGACGUGGGAGGUCGGUGAAAUCGAUAGAGAAAUAGCGCAAAACGGUGUAAAUUCGUUAUUCUAUGCGAGAACAUUGUAUUUCAUGUUGAGUAUUGAAAGUUUUUAAAAAUGACUCUUUUUUUUUUUUAUUUUUUUUUUUUUAAGGUAAUUGAAUUUUUUUUAAUUUAUUUUUUAAAUUACAUCGAGAUAGCAAUAUAAUGGUUAUUAUUAUUUCAGCAUAGGUGAAUAUUGUUCAAUAUUCAUGAAAAACUGGUUAGAAGCCAUGGAACGAUCGUAUCGCGACUUGACCCGAUUCGAACAAGCUAAUAGGAGUAAGACUUUCGCUUCCAUGACAGACACAAUUGCCAAACAUCUUCCGGAAUUCUUCGCCAUAGCUCAGAUAAUUAACCUUUUCCCCUAGAACCUUUAACGACUUCGAUACGCUCAAGCUCCGAUUCGUUCUCUUCGAAUCGAGAUAAGUAUCCCCUUUAUCCUAUAUAGUCCAAAUCGAUUCACAUUGGUAACUGUUCUUUUUCUUUCUAUUCGUUUUCCACUUUAAUUCUGCAUUCUAUUCUCAUUGAGAUUAAAAAAAUGCCAUAUUCGAUAAUCUUGAAAUAAAAUAAAAGAAAAUUAGUUUCCACUAUUAUUGGAUUUAAGUUAAUACUUUUUUUAAUUCUUUUCAGAUUUCGUUUUUAAAAAAUAAAAUGAAGCUUGCUAAAAGCAAGAAUCGCAAAUGGUAAAAAUUGAGGAAACUCCAAACUGCAUUAGAUUGUAAAAUUUUAUUUUCUUCAUCUUCCUUCUUCAAUUCACGAAAUGUUCGCAAGACCGGUUGUCUCGGAAUGAUUGGAACGUCAGGAAUGCACCGGUAUCAGGAUGCGAGGCUGGAAAACAUAACUCGUUGGACGAUUACGAGUAUAUUAAUGAAGCGGAUAUAUCGUGAAACAUUGGAGGGCGUUAUAAAUGUGUUGAAAGUAUAAUGAAGUCGAGAACAUGCCGUAAGGGUUUUAGAAUUGAUCAAAGAUUAGCGGCCGUAUGUUUUUUCGUAUCUUCAUGAGAGAUAGCGGAGAGCCUCGAGAGACUUGUUGCAAAACGUAUAGUUUUCAAGGGAAUCUAUCGAAGAAAAUUAAUUCGGGCACGUGGAAUAAAUGAAAGAUAUGGAUGUAAGUGAAACAUUAGAAGGAUGUUGAAGGAUGUUGUUCGUACAAGAAGAGAUAAAGCAAAAUAUUGAUGCUUGCACGUAGGUAGUAUUUCGAUUGAAAUAAUGUCUGCGAUAACUGGUUGACGUGCAUAAUUUAUAUUCUUAUGCGUGGGAUAUGGUUAAUUUCAUUAGUCUGUUCGAAUUUGAAUUUUUAAAACAUAUGUACAGUCAAGUUAUACCUAGUGUAGUGAAGAGACGUGUAUCAAUAU